rnacentral:lncRNA from 1 species
CUUUUUGCUCUACAAGCUAUUUUACUUUGUUUUAAAAAUGUCUUAUUUUAUUUCUGUAGCUACUCUGGUGAUGGAAGUGAGAGUCUGGAUAAAAAUGUGCCAGUUUCAGUGCUGAGUGAACACUGAAUGAACACUGAAUUCACUGGCUGCAGACAAUUGAUGGUCCCUGACCCCAAGGCCUCACCCCCUCCUCCAGAGUGGGCAAGCAGAUUUUGAUUUUGCAUUGUUUGGUGUGUAAUGGAUCUUUUUGUCAUCAGCAGAUGGAUAACAAACGAAUGGAGAAAGGUCCUUCUGGAGAUUUGAAGCCAGAAAGAAACAAUAAGAUCUGCAUUACGAUAUGCAGAAGAUCUUCAAGUGAGAUGGGGAUCCUCUUCCUGUGUCAGGUUUUCUGAAUCACAAAUCCAUCAAAUUCCAAGAGACAACAAUAACACCAU